GGUUUACCUGUGUGACUGCGUACCUUUUGUAUAAUGGGUCAGCGACUUAUAUUCUGUAGCAAGGUUAACCGUAUAGGGGAGCCGUAGGGAAACCGAGUCUUAACCGGGCGUUAAGUUGCAGGGUAUAGACCCGAAACCCGGUGAUCUAGCCAUGGGCAGGUUGAAGGUUGGGUAACACUAACUGGAGGACCGAACCGACUAAUGUUGAAAAAUUAGCGGAUGACCUGUGGCUGGGGGUGAAAGGCCAAUCAAACCGGGAGAUAGCUGGUUCUCCCCGAAAGCUAUUUAGGUAGCGCCUCGUGAAUUCAUCUCCGGGGGUAGAGCACUGUUUCGGCUAGGGGGCCAUCCCGGCUUACCAACCCGAUGCAAACUGCGAAUACCGGAGAAUGUUAUCACGGGAGACACACGGCGGGUGCUAACGUCCGUCGUGAAGAGGGAAACAACCCAGACCGCCAGCUAAGGUCCCAAAGUCAUGGUUAAGUGGGAAACGAUGUGGGAAGGCCCAGACAGCCAGGAUGUUGGCUUAGAAGCAGCCAUCAUUUAAAGAAAGCGUAAUAGCUCACUGGUCGAGUCGGCCUGCGCGGAAGAUGUAACGGGGCUAAACCAU
rnacentral:rRNA from 4 species